ACGGGUGAGUAACACGUGAGUAACCUGCCCCUGACUCUGGGAUAAGCGUUGGAAACGACGUCUAAUACUGGAUACGACUGCCGGCCGCAUGGUCUGGUGGUGGAAAGAUUUUUUGGUUGGGGAUGGACUCGCGGCCUAUCAGCUUGUUGGUGAGGUAAUGGCUCACCAAGGCGACGACGGGUAGCCGGCCUGAGAGGGUGACCGGCCACACUGGGACUGAGACACGGCCCAGACUCCUACGGGAGGCAGCAGUGGGGAAUAUUGCACAAUGGGCGAAAGCCUGAUGCAGCAACGCCGCGUGAGGGAUGACGGCCUUCGGGUUGUAAACCUCUUUUAGUAGGGAAGAAGCGAAAGUGACGGUACCUGCAGAAAAAGCACCGGCUAACUACGUGCCAGCCG
rnacentral:rRNA from 1 species